rnacentral:rRNA from 1 species
GAUGAACGCUGGCGGCGUGCCUAAUACAUGCAAGUCGAGCGAACGGACGAGAAGCUUGCUUCUCUGAUGUUAGCGGCGGACGGGUGAGUAACACGUGGAUAACCUACCUAUAAGACUGGGAUAACUUCGGGAAACCGUAGCUAAUACCGGAUAAUAUUUUGAACCGCAUGGUUCAAAAGUGAAAGACGGUCUUGCUGUCACUUAUAGAUGGAUCCGCGCUGCAUUAGCUAGUUGGUAAGGUAACGGCUUACCAAGGCAACGAUGCAUAGCCGACCGGAGAGGGUGAUCGGCGACACUGGAACUGAGACACGGUCCAGACUCCUACGGGAGGCAGCAGUAGGGAAUCUUCCGCAAUGGGCGAAAGCCUGACGGAGCAACGCCGCGUGAGUGAUGAAGGUCUUCGGAUCGUAAAACUCUGUUAUUAGGGAAGAACAGAUGUGUAAGUAACUGUGCACAUCGUGACGGUACCUAAUCAGAAAGCCACGGCUAACUACGUG